UACGGAGGAUGCAAGCGUUAUCCGGAUUCAUUGGGUUUAAAGGGUACGUAGGUGGCUGAUUAAGUCAGUGGUGAAAACCUGCCGCUUAACGGUAGGCGUGCCAUUGAUACUGAUUAGCUUGAGUACAGUUGAGGUAGGCGGAAUGUGUAGUGUAGCGGUGAAAUGCUUAGAUAUUACACAGAACUCCGAUUGCGAAGGCAGCUUACUAAACUGACACUGACACUGAGGUACGAAAGCGUGGGUAGCGAAC
rnacentral:rRNA from 1 species